GCGGGGGUGGCAGAGCACAUGCGUCAGAUUUAAGCUUUGAAGAGGGAGCGCAAUCUCCCCCCCGCA
rnacentral:tRNA from 1 species